rnacentral:rRNA from 1 species
UAUGUUCCUGGAUCUUGUACACACCGCCCGUCAAGUCAUGGAAGAAGGGAGUACCAGAAGACCCACUUUAGUGGAGACAAGGUAAUACCUUUGACUGGGACU